rnacentral:rRNA from 1 species
CCUACGGGGUGCAGCAGUGGGGAAUAUUGGGCAAUGGGCUCAAGCCUGACCCAGCAACGCCGCGUGAAGGAAGAAGGCUUUCGGGUUGUAAACUUCUUUUGUCAGGGACGACGCAAGUGACGGUACCUGACGACUAAGCCACGGCUAACUACGGGCCAGCCGCCGCGGUAAUACGUAGGUGGCAAGCGUUAUCCGGAUUUACGGGGUGUAAAGGGCGUGUAGGCGGGGAAGCAAGUCAGAUGUGAAAACCACGGGCUCAACCUGUGGCCUGCAUUUGAAACUGUUUUUCUUGAGUGCGGGAGAGGCAAUCGGAAUUCCGUGUGUAGCGGUGAAAUGCGUAGAUAUACGGAGGAACACCAGUGGCGAAGGCGGAUUGCUGGACAGUAACUGACGCUGAGGCGCGAAAGCGUGGGGAGCAAACAGGAUUAGAUACCCCGGUAGUC